UACGUAGGCAGCGAGCGUUGUUCGGAAUUACUGGGCGUAAAGAGUGUGUAGGCGGUGCUCUAAGUUCGGUGUGAAAUCUCCCGGCUUAACUGGGAGGGUGCGCCGGAAACUGGAAUGCUCGAACGUGGGAGAGGAAAGCGGAAUUCCUGGUGUAGCGGUGAAAUGCGUAGAUAUCAGGAGGAACACCUGCGGUGUAGACGGCUUUCUGGACCAUUGUUGACGCUGAGACACGAAAGCGUGGGUAGCAAACAGG
rnacentral:rRNA from 1 species